AUUGAACGCUGGCGGAAUGCUUUACACAUGCAAGUCGAGCGGCAGCGCGGGGCAACCUGGCGGCGAGCGGCGAACGGGUGAGUAACACAUCGGAACGUACCUCGUAGUGGGGGAUAACUAUCCGAAAGGAUAGCUAAUACCGCAUACGACCUGAGGGAGAAAGCGGGGGAUCGCAAGACCUCGCGCUGGAAGAGCGGCCGAUGUCCGAUUAGCUAGUUGGUAGGGUAAAGGCCUACCAAGGCGACGAUCGGUAGCGGGUCUGAGAGGACGGCCCGCCACACUGGGACUGAGAAACGGCCCAGACUCCGACGGGAGGCAGCAGUGGGGAAUUUUGGACAAUGGGGGCAACCCUGAUCCAGCCAUUCCGCGUGAGUGAAGAAGGCCUUCGGGUUGUAAAGCUCUUUCGGCAGGAACGAAACGGCUCUCUCUAACAUAGGGGGCUAAUGACGGUACCUGAAGAAGAAGCACCGGCUAACUACGUGCCAGCCGCCGCGGUAACAC
rnacentral:rRNA from 1 species